GACCAGAGUUUGGCUAUCGUCAAGGUUCCUCUGGGAUCCACAUUUGCCAGGACUAACGUUUCCCCCCCGGGCCAAUUUUCAGGGGGAUCACACUUCCGGCCGCGGCAAAGUCCAUCUGGAUAUCAGUUCCGCCAUGACUAACGUUUCUCCUUACGUUGAGUUCCAGAUUGGAGAAGAUGCAAGAAAUUGGGCUCAUUCCAUCCCCUGAAAAGUACCUAACUACCUGAAGGCCUGUUCUGCUAAUUUUCCCCAGAGCACAGAGUUCCUCAUCCCUGAUCUCUGCCUUGAACUCCUUUCAGGGUGUGUUGAAGGUGGCUUCAAGAACCAGUGAAAAGGGUAUAUGUUUAAGAAUCACUCACUGGCUGAGGAAAAGUCUUGAAGAAAAAGGAGGUGGAGUUUUCCUGCUGUUUUAGUCUUGAAAGUCACUCUACUUCCAGUUUCCUGCUGGGGAUGAGGAUUGGAGGCAUGAGGCAAUGACUGAUUUUCCAGCUCCCCCUGGGAGCCUGCUGGAGGAGCUUCCCAGGAAUGGGGCAGAGGAAGAGUUUCCACCUAACGCCGAGGUGGCCUCAAGAGUAAGUGAAAAUGAUUGGAUCGUUGACCAAAGAUAUGAUUCCAGCAGCAAAGAUGAAGACUCUCCAUGUAGGGAACCACACGCAGGCCACUCCGUCACCAUCUCUGCCCUCAUGCAUGCAGAGGCCUAUUUGACAGAUUCUGAGGAUUAGGAUCCAGAGACCAGCAACCUGCAUGUAAUUGAUUUCCAACUUAUGUGUCUUUUUAAAAAUCUGUUUAUUUGCUACCUAUGGACUCUUCUUUGUAGCUCUCUCCCAUUCUUUUUUAUGAUGCUCAGCCUGAAGGACCUGAUCUCAUCCAGGCACUUGAAAUUCUGGGAUCUUCAAUGUCUAUAAAUUUUUUUUCUUGUCUUUUUGCUUUUUUUAGAGCUGCUCUUGCGGCAUAUGGAGAUUCUCAGGCUAGGGUCUAAUCGGAGCUGUAGCCGCCAGCCUACACCAGAGCUACAGCAACAUGGGAUCCGAGCCAGGUCUGCGACCUACACCACAGCCACAGCAACGUGGGAUCUGAGCCAUGUCUGCAGCCAACACCACAGCUCUCGGCAACGCCGGAUCCUUAACCCACUGAACAAGGCCAGGGAUCAAACCCGCAGCCUCAUUGUCCCUAGUCAGAUUCGUUAACCACUGAGCCACGACAGGAACUCUGUUCAAUGCCUAUAAAAUCUUUCUUUAUCCCACAACUUUCGAAGCAUCAUCCCGGCUCCUGAUACCCUGUCUGCACCACUGAGCUGUUUUGAGCCACCCUGGGUGGCCUGGGCAGAGAGGGAGCCUGGGAGUCAGAAGAGCUGGGUGCCUCUCACCUGGGUUUCUCCUGCACUGGAUGGCUCUGGACAUGCACAAUUGUUUUCUGCCUUUCAGCUAUUAUCAAGAUUACACAAUUAAAAAAAAAAAGAUUAUUCCACUAGGAAUCUGAUUCCAGAAAUCCUCUUGACCUGGAUUCAAGAGAAUGAAUCAAGAAAAGUAAAAGGAGAUGAAAAGGAACAAGAGGAAAUGUGAGUGUAGAGAGAGGAUGAGGAAGAGUAGAAGGCAGAUAAGUGCACUUCGGGAAAAUCAAACCCAAAACCGAAAACCCAAAGAGUUCCCUGGGGAGGCCACUACUGCAUGUGACCAGGCAGGGGAGAUAAAUGAUAGUUACCAUCAAUGCCAGUGAGUACAGAAUGAACUGACAACCUAUGGCCAAGGAUGGACACCCAGUCCUUCCUUACAAGGCCCUAAAGAAAGGGCUGUAGAUGAAGUUCCCAUCGUGGCUCAGUGGUUAACGAAUCCGACUAAGAACCAUGAGGUUGCGGGUUCAAUCCCUGGCCUUGUUCAGUGGGUUAAGGAUCCAGCAUUGCCGUGAGCUGAGGUGAAGUUUACGGAUAUGGCUCUGAUCCUGCAUGGGUGUGGCUCUGGCGUAGGCUGGCGACUAUAGCUCUGAUUAGACCCCUAGCCUGGGAACCUCCAUGUGCCACAGGAGUGGCCCUAGAAAUGGCAAAAAAAAGGGGGGGGAGUGGUUGUAGGGCCGCCAUAUGUGUGACUCUGGCAGGUGCAGAUCACAUUGUGUUCUGUGCAAAGUGUCCCUGGAGGGGUUCAACAUCCUACUCCUGCAGGACCCAGUCCUGUCCUCCCAACCCUCUCAAGGUGAAUAGGAAGCACCUCAGACGAUCAGUGUGCUGAGACUGUGUAGGUUGCCCUUGACCCCCCUCCCCGCCCCCAUUUUAGGCCUCCUGAGAAAGGGGUGAGGAGGACAGAGGCACCAGGGCUCCUUCUCAUGCGAGCAGGACAGCUCACCUGGGUCAGUGCUGAUCCAUCCCUGUGGACACACAGCAGCCCUAGCCUCAACGGGGGGACACUGUAGGAUCCAAGUCCAGCUAGGAGUUGCCCCUCCCCUGGAGGCCCCUCAGCCUGGGUCACCUCAUGGCACCGUUUCUCAGGCUGAGAUUCUGUAGAUCUUUCAUAUGCAAAUAAAAAUCAAGCAAAACAUGGAGUUCCCAUCAAGGCGCAGAAUCCAACUAGGAACCAUGAGGUUGUGGGUCCGAUCCCAGGCCUUGCUUAGUGGGUCAGUGGGUUAAGGAUCUGGCGUUGCCAUCAGCUGUUGUUUAGGUUGAAGAUGCGGCUCGGAUCUGGCAUUGCUGUGGCUGUGGUGUAGGCCGGCCACUGUAGCUCCGAUUUGACUCCUAGCCUGGGAACCUCCAUAUGCCGUGGGUGUGGCCUGAAAAGACAAAAGACCAAAAAAAAAAAAAAAAAAAAAAAAUCAAGCAAAACACAAACACUCAGAAGAAAUUCACUGGCAUGCUACUUUGGGGUGUGUUAAAGAGUUAGGAUUCUAAGUUACUUACAUUUCUUUUAUUUUCCAAUUUUGUAAAUAAAACAUAAUUUGUGUUACAUUUUCAAAA